UUUAAUUCAACACAAGGGAAUUUUUGUUGCAGACUCAGAGAUGAUGGCGGAGGCAAGAGGACCUGUUAUUUCGUGUAGAUGCAGCAAAACCGAAGACUGUCAGGGUAUUUGUGCCGUGUGCCCCAACUAUAGCUGCAUUAAUAACCUUUGUACUUGCCUUUCAAACGCACCUCCAUUUCCAUAGUCUUAGAAUCUACACACUCCAACAGUUGAAUGAAAUGGUGGGAUUUUUUUUGUGUAAUUUUAAAUAAAUUAUCAUGCAAUGGAUCUAAUAAGAAAAAAUAUUGUAAUUAUUGUAAUUUUCAAUUUCUUUUUACCCUUCUCUGCCCCUCCCCCCCUUUCUAGUAGCGAAAAGUAUGUUACAUUUCAAAUAUAUAAAAAGAGUUACAAUCUUGUUUUAAAACUAAAAGAAAUAACAGUAAGAACAAAAGAUAGGAGAAAAAUUAAGACACAAAAUGAGAUGAUAAUUCUUCUUUCUACUUGUAUCUCAUAAGCUUGUAUAUGGCUUCAAUCUAUAGGGCUUCAACAAUGAUAGGCUAAAAAUAAUAUAAAUAGGAAUAUCAAAACUCGCAAUAAAUUGAAUGGGUAUUUCAUAAGUUGCAAGUUCCACCGUAUUCUUUUGGUGGGGACACUUUGUUAAUUUAUUAACAACACUAUGCACUAGAUGUGUAUCAAAUGGAAACGUGCUCUGUUAAAACUUUGUUAGAAAAAAUUGCAUAAGCACCUAUUAUAAGCUAAAGCAUUAAAAACAUUUUCUAGGAAAACUUAGCUGGACAAUACCUUGGGUAAAGGAAAGAGUAAACAUGUUUUUGACUCCCCCUAAUUUUAAAAAUAUUGAAACAUGGUACAAAUUUUGAAACAAUUUUUUGUUGCUAAAUACUUCGUCAAAGAGAAUCAUACUAUGAAGACAUGCCUUUUUAAUUACAACGAUAACCAUUGAGUUUCAUUGUAUACUCUAGGUUCAUUUGCCAAUAACUCUUUUGUACAUCAUAAACCUUGGUUGUUUGUUUCCAUUUAUUCACAAUCUCUUGCAACAAAUUUUGACAUUUUAACUGUAGUGAUAGUUUUAUUAUCCUUGUAGCGAGCCCAAGAUACCAAUUGCUCCCACCCAUGAUUUUGAAUUUUAAAUACUUUAUUUAAAUGAUUGUGAUGUUUAGAAAUUUAAAAAAUAAACUAAUUUUCUUCUAAAUUUUAUUACUUAGCGAUCCGCUGCUUGGGAUAGGAAGAACUUAAACCUUCGGCCUGACAAACCUAGGAAGUCAUCUAGGUGAGAAUUAACCCAAAAUUGGUAUUACCUAUCCAUGGACCUCUUACCUCAAGUUGGUCUGGACUGUGAGGUCGAAAGAUAAGUAGUUGUUGCCAACUCAUUAGUUUAGUGGAAGAUCGAGAGAUCCUACUAGGUUAGCGGCUAAUUGAUUGAGUAGAACCAAAAAUAGGAUUUAGUUAUGACCACUGAAGCGAGCUAAUCACUCAUGCUUAGAUUUUAGUGAAUCACAUAUUAGUUCUCCAUCUUUUUUAUUUUAUGCAAGUUUAUUUCUUUUCUUAUAAAAACAAUUGUUUUUCACUUUAUGGUCAUCUUACUAUAAUUUAUUUAAAUUAGUAAUUAGAUCUAUUUGCGUUUAGGUAAAUAUUAAUUUAGUACUUGUCUCCCUUGGGUACGAUCCUCGAGUACUCACCUACUUCGUUGUAAAACUAUAUUACAACCUGACUCGUAUACUUGAGGACACCGCCUCAGUUCAAUAUAUACUUUUAGCAAUAUUCACACUCUGGAUUCUAGUACGUCCGAAGUUGGUCACUGUCCAAAGUGGGCGUAGUUUAUCUGCAAAUCAGUGGUGGCUCAUCUACAAUCCGGAGUGAUAUGUUAGACGAGUUCCGGGGAAUUCAUACGUGAGGUGUGUAGCGGAUUUGGGUAGGACUUUUCUGUUAAUUUGAAACUUCAAUGCAUUCAUAAGCAUGUGCAUAUAAAAUUGUGAAUACCAAUAUAACGAAGUGAAGCGUUUUAUGUGAAAAACUGUUAAUCUGAGGUGCUUUAUGGUUGUCUUUAAUCUCACGAUUGCUAAUUCAUGUGCCUUAUUGUUUUGUUGUUUUAUUUUGAUUUUCUUGUGACUGAACUCACACAGAGCUUCAUAGCUCAAUGCCCUUUAGUUCCCAUCCUUAUAGAUAACCCACCAGGUUAGGAUGCGACAUGUGGAGGGCUCGAACAAGUUUUAAUGUUAUGAAAGUAUUGUUAUGCUUAUUUUAAAAUUUAUGUUAUUUUGGAACUGUACUGUAUUAUUUAUUUUCUGCCAUUGGAUUCAUAUUUAGGUUUUGGUUUUAUAUUGCAAGCAUGACAUAUAAAUUGUUGUUUUUAAGAUGAUGAAAUAUGGAUUUCAAUUAAAUAUGCAUGAAAUAUAGAUGUUAGUAAAACUCAGGAAAAGCCAUUUUUCCGCUGAAAGGUCAUAAUUAAAUUUUGUCUAAUAAAUAGAAUGUAACUAUGUUUCCAAUAGUUAUCACCUUUUACAAGAAAAAUAUUAGUUUAAUUGUAUUUUAUAUGCCCAUGUUUUGUUUUCUAAAAAUAGACAGAGUCUUUGUAAAGAUAAAUAAAAUGUUUUAAUGUGACUAUUUAAAAUCUUCGAUUGCACUAGGCCAUCACGGUGGUCGAUGUAAUCUCCCGAACUCGGGCCUACCGUCUAGGCCAAUUUGGGGAGGUUACAAUUUCAAUGCCAUAAAGUACUAAAACCAUAUUUUCAUUCAUCUUCAGCAUAGAUUAUUUCAUGUUGAUUUGAGUUGAAUUAAAAUAUUUAAUUUGAACUUAUAAAUUUGCCAUAUUUAAGGGAAAAAAAGUGGUUUUACUUCAAACAAAAAGAAGAGAUAAAUUGUUACCAACUAAAUUGAUGAACAAGAACUUGAUAUGAUAUAUACGUGAAUACAAUAAAAAUACAUUAAUUGCGCUAUAAUUGUGUAUAAUAUACUUUUUAUUUAGUUAUAUUGUGUUUAUACAAAAUUAGUAAAGAUAAAAUACUAUGCAUCAAAUAUGUUCAAUUCUAAUUCUAAUUCUAAUUCCAAUUCCAAUUUUUGUUUGAACUUGAUUUGGAACACAAAAAUUGAGCAUGAUGUCAAGUAUGAGAAUCCAAAUCAAGUCUUAUCAAAUAAACAAGCCUAAUUAAAUUUAGUAAAGCUAAUUAAAGCAGUUUAAUCUUUAUCUUGUAUCAAGUUUAAAUUUUAAAAGUUAAACUCAAUGAAGUUAUAUUGGAGCAUUCAAUUCUCUAGGUUUCUAUGGAGAUUGAGAUGGAAUUUCUUGGCUCAGUUCAACCCCAUUAAAUAACUUUAAAGUUUUUAUUUUGAUACAAUAGUUAAUAUUAUUUCCAAACUCAUAUAAGAGGUUGUGUAGGAAGGCUUCAGGUUUUUUUGUCUGCUUUCUCUCAGUACUAUCUCCAGAAUUUUAAUGCUUUUAGUAUUUUAAUAUUUGAAAAUUAUUUAAAAUAACUGUCUACCAAGAAAAAAAUAAUUUAAUCUUUUCUUCUGCUAGACCACAAAUAAAAAGAGUUGGAACAUAUUUCCCAUUUGUUUCUAAACGGUUGGACUAAUAAUCAACUUAUUGGCAUCAUGCAUUCCAGAUUUGGUAACAUUAAUUUCCAUGACUACACUUAGAACAAAAUAAUUAUAAUCAGUAAACAAAAUCCCCAUAAAUCUUCUCAAAGAUGUUUUGCUGAUUUACUUUCCUUUUAGACAUAAUUUCAUAAGGAAAAAAAUAAAAACGUAAUAAUCUCAAAGAAUCCAAAGAAAUUAUUAUUCCUCCAUGCAACACAAAAUAAGAUACUAUAUAUUUUAAAUCCAUAAGCUAUAAAUUUCCACCAACAUAGUUAAUUAGAUAUAAAGAGAUGGCAAAGUUUUCAUUCAAUUUGUUUAUAUUUGCUGUCAUCUUAAUCUUUGCAACUCGUUAGUUUCUUCUUAUGCAGCUCUUUUCUUUCCUUUGGUAUGAAUAUUAUGUUUUUGUUUAAUUCAACACAAGGGAAUUUUUGUUGCAGACUCAGAGAUGAUGGCAGAGGCAAGAGGACCUGUUAUUUCGUGUAGAUGCAGCAAAACCGAAGACUGUCAGGGUAUUUGUGCCGUGUGCCCCAACUAUAGCUGCAUUAAUAACCUUUGUACUUGCCUUUCAAACGCACCUCCAUUUCCAUAGUCUUAGAAUCUACACACUCCAACAGUUGAAUGAAAUGGUGGGAUUUUUUUGUGUAAUUUUAAAUAAAUUAUCAUGCAAUGGAUCUAAUAAGAAAAAAUAUUGUAAUUAUUGUAAUUUUCAAUUUCUUUUUACCCUUCUCUGCCCCUCCCCCCCUUUCUAGUAGCGAAAAGUAUGUUACAUUUCAAAUAUAUAAAAAGAGUUACAAUCUUGUUUUAAAACUAAAAGAAAUAACAGUAAGAACAAAAGAUAGGAGAAAAAUUAAGACACAAAAUGAGAUGAUAAUUCUUCUUUCUACUUGUAUCUCAUAAGCUUGUAUAUGGCUUCAAUCUAUAGGGCUUCAACAAUGAUAGGCUAAAAAUAAUAUAAAUAGGAAUAUCAAAACUCGCAAUAAAUUGAAUGGGUAUUUCAUAAGUUGCAAGUUCCACCGUAUUCUUUUGGUGGGGACACUUUGUUAAUUUAUUAACAACACUAUGCACUAGAUAUGUAUCAAAUGGAAACGUGCUCUGUUAAAACUUUGUUAGAAAAAAUUGCAUAAGCACCUAUUAUAAGCUAAAACAUUAAAAACAUUUUCUAGGAAAACUUAGCUGGACAAUACCUUGGGUAAAGGAAAGAGUAAACAUGUUUUAGACUCACCCUAAUUUUAAAAAUAUUGAACAUGGUACAAAUUUUGAAACAAUUUUUUGAUGCUAAAUACUUCGUCCAAGAGAAUCAUACUAUGAAGACAUGUCGUUUUAAUUACAAUGAUAACCAUUGAGUUUCAUUGUAUACUCUAGGUUCAUUUUCCAAUAACUCUUUUGCACAUCAUAAUAUAGGUGGGGGCGAAUAAAACUUUAAAUAAAGCGAAAUUAAUACAUGCGUUAAAGCCUCCAUUAAUUUCUUAUAAGUUUAUUUUUAUAUCCACAAUCAAAUUUUUCUUAUGCGGACAUGAUACCUUGCUAUUGCAUAUGACAUAAGAAAAACUGUAUAUUAAAUUUAGCCUCCUGGCUUUUGAGAUUUCUACAUCCUAUCUCUCUUUCUUACUCUGUUGCAAGGAUGUUCAUGUAGACCACCUGAAAGAUAGUUGUAUGGUUUCUUUAUUCUUAUUGAAACACAUAUCGAGUCUUUCUUGAAAUCACUGUGACUUUAAUAGUCAUUACCAAUAUGGUUUGACUCUUGCAGGUUUUGAGUACAUUGGCGUGUCAUUCGGCCCAAUUAAAAGCUAUUAUUGUUGUUUCAAUUUGAGAUCGCUCCCUUCUAGUUUUCUUCUUCUUUUCUCGUUUUGGUUUCCUACCCUUUAUAUGCUUGUUGUAGUAUUUUUCCUUAAGUUAAUUUUGGAAAUACAUAGAUUCUAUUGAAUGCAGUGCCAUUAAUCUUAUUAACUAGAUAGGAAUUAACCUAAAAUUGGUAUUGCCUAUCCAUGAACCUCUUACCUCAAGUUGGUUUGGACUGUGAGGUCGAAAGAUAAGUAGUUGUUGCCAACUCAUUAGUUUAGUGGAAGAUCGAGAGAGCCUACUAGGUUAGCGGCUAAUUGAUUGAGUAGAACCUAAAAUAGGAUUUAGUUAUGACCACUGAAGCGAGCUAAUCACUCAUGCUUUGAUUUUUAUUAAAUCACAUAUUAGUUCUCCAGCUUUUUUAUUUUAUGCAAGUUUAUUUCUUUUCUUAUAAAAACAAUUGUUUUUCACUUUAUGAUCAUCGUACUAUAAUUUAUUUAAAUUAGUAAUUAGAUCUAUUUGCUUUUAGGUUAAUAUUAAUUUAGUACUUGUCUCCCUUGGGUUCGAUCCUCGAGUACUCACCUACUUCGUUGUAAAACUAUAUUACAACUUGACUCGUAUACUUGAGGACACCGCCUCAAUUCAAUUAUACUUUUAGCAAUAUUCACACUCUGGAUUCUAGUACGUCCGAAGGCGGUCACUUUCCAAAGUGGCGCGUAGUUUUUCUGCAAAUGAGUGGUGGCUUGUCUACAAUCUGGAGUGAUAUGUUAGACGAGUUCUAGGGAAUUCAUACGUGAUUUGUGUAGCGGAGUUGGGUAGGACUUUUCUGUUAAUUUAAAACUUCAAUGCAUUCAUAAGCAUGUGCAUAUAAAAUUGUGAAUACCAAUAUAGUGAACUGAAGCGUUUUAUGUGAAAAACCGUUAAUCUGAGGUGCUUUAUGGUUGUCUUUAAUCUCAGGAUUGCUAAUUCAUGUGCCUUGUUGGUUUGUUGUUUUAUUUUGGUUUUCUUGUGACUGAAGUCAUACUGAGCUUCAUAGCUCACUUCCUUUUAAUUCUCAUCCUUACAGAUAACUCCUCAGGUUAGGACACGGACGCGACAUACGGAGUGCUCGAAAAAGUUUUAAUGUUAUGAAAGUAUUAUUAUGCUUAUUUUAAAAUUUAUGUUAUUUCGGAACUGUACUAUAUUAUUUAUUUUCUGGUAUAUGGAUUCAUAUUUAGGUUUUGGUUUUAUAUUGCAAGCAUGACAUAUAAAUUGUUUUUUUUUUAAGAUGAUGUAAUAUGGAUUUCAAUUAAAUAUGCAUGAAAUAUAGAUGUUAGUAAAACUCAGGAAAAGCCCUUUUUCCCUAAAAAGUCAUAAUUAAAAUUUGUCUAAUAACUAGAAUGUAACAAUAUUUCCAAUAGUUAUCACCGUUUACAAGAAAAAUAUUACUUUAAUUGUAUUUUAUAUACCCAUGAUUUGUUUUCUAAAAAUAGACAGAGUCCUUCUAAAGAUAAAAAAAUGUUUUAAUGUGACUUUUUAAAAUCUUCGAUUGCACUAGGCCAUCUGGGUGGCCGAUGUAAUCUCCUGAACUCGGGCCUACCGUCUAGGCCCAUUUGGGGAGGUUACAAUUUCAAUGGCAUAAAGUACUAAAACCAUAUUUCCAAUCAUCUUCAGCAUAGAUUAUUUCAUGUUGAUUUGAGUUGAAUUAAAAUAUUUAAUUUGAACUUAUAAAUUUGCCAUUUGUAAAGAAAAAAAAAGUGAUUUUACUUUAAACAAAAAAGAAUAGAUAAAUUGUUACCAACUAAAUUGAUGAACAAGAACAUGAUAUAAUAUGCGCUACAGUUGUAUAUAAUAUCCUUUUUAUUUAGGUAUAUUGUGUUUGUGCAAAAUUAGUAAGGAUAAAAAACUAUGCAUCAAAUAUGUUCAAUUCUAAUUCUAAUUCUAAUUCUAAUUCUAAUUCCAAUUCCAAUUUGAGUUUGAAUUUGAUUUGGAACACAAAAAUUGAGCAUGAUGUCAAGUAUGAGAAUCUAACUCAAGUUUUAUCAAAUAAACAAGCCUCAUUAAAUUUAGUAAAGCUAAUUAAAGCAGUUUAAUCUUUAUCUUGUAUCAAGUUUAUAUUUUAAAAGUGACACUUAAUAAGCAUGACUUUUGCUACUGAGUUGAUCUGUUAGAAACAUUUUAUUUUCUACCAUAUUAAACUAUUAUAGGCAUAUUGAUUGCUGUCGUAUUGUUCUGUUCAAUGUAUAAUUAAAUGCUACCGUAUUAAUCCGUUUUGUGCUUGCCAUUUUGCAUUGCAUUGGGUGAGAUGACAUGUAAGGAGGAAGAAGUGACAUUUUACCUACAAAUUUAUUUUGCACCCACAGCCUAGUGGUAGUGUUUAUCCUUUAACUACAAAUAUGUCGUACAUCUACAACCCAUCUGUAACUUUAACCUGCAAAUAUGUUGUGCAUCUAUAGUCCAGUGGCAAAUUUUAUCUGCGAUAUUUUACUAUGUAUUCAUAGCCCAGUGACAAAUUUCAUCUACGAUUUUUUUUUUUUGUAUCCAUAGCCCAAUGAUAGAUUUUAUCUAUGAAACUAAUGGUGGUUAAACCACAACUCGGUGUGUAGGUGGUUGGAGUUUAGGGGAACUCCCAUUGUAGUGUGUAGCGGUGGGGUAGGAUCUUUUCUGUUUAACCAAAAUUUUAUGGCAUACAUAAAGCAUGUGCAUACAAUUUGGAUUUUUUGAGAUGACAUAUAUGUAUUCAUUGUGGAAGUGAUCUGAAAUAUUGAUAUUCUGAAAUUGCUAUUGUGUAUUGUUCUAUGCAUUAUGUUUCUAUAUGCUUAAGAGUUUGCAUUAGUUUACUCGUGAUGGAACUUACACUGACCUUCAUAACUUACUCCCUUUUCUUUUUCCAUCUUUACAGAUAACCCACCAGGGUAGGACGCGAACGCAAAAUAUGGAGGGCUUGGAAACGUUUUAUUUUUUUGAAAGUAUUAUUAGGCUUAUUUUUAUUAUUUCUAUUAUUUUGAAAUUGUACUGUUUUAUUUAUUUUGUGGCAUGGGGUUCAUAUGUAGGGUUUAUUUAGCAUGCAUAACAUUUAACUUAAUUUUAAAAUAAGGUUUUUAUUUAAUUAAGGCAUGAAAUAUAGUUUAUUAAAGCUAAGUAAAAAAAAUCACCUUUUCGUUGUUAGAUUGUAGAUAAAAAUUGAGUACUAAAUAAAUGAAAAACUAAGUUUUCUUAAAAGUAGUCAUCGUUACAUAGGAAAGUUAAAUUAAAUCGGUUUUUGAUAACUUGUGAGUUUUUCUAAAAAUAGACUAAGUUUUCUUCCAAAAUAAAUAAAUGUUUUAAAAUGCCUAUUUUAUAAACCCCAAUCGUACUAGGCCAUCUCGGUGGCCGAUGUAAUCUCCCGAAUUCGGGUUUAACAUCUAGGCCAGAUUGAGAAGAUUACAACUUUUAUGAAUAUAAAACCGAACAAUCACUUUUUGCUUUUCAGAAACCUCUCUUUUCAGCUUUGCUAACAUAUUUCAUGAGGCUGAGACUCCUCCGUUGAUAGUCUUGGUUGUCUGUUUCCCUUUAUUCACAAUCUCUUGCGAUAAAUUUUGACAUUUUAACUGCAGUGACACUGUCAUUAGCCUUGUAGUGAGCCCAACAUAGCAACUCCUCCCACCUAUGAUUUUGAAUUUUUAAUACUUUAUUUAAUUGAUUUUGAUGUUUUGAAUUUUUUUUAAAAAUAAAUAAAUUAUUGAAAAAAAAUUCGAUAGUUUCAGUCGAUUUGUUACUAUAAUAUCAAAAUUAAUUAAAUUAAACUUCUUCUAAAUUUUAUUUUUUAUAUUUUCAAGUUAUUCAUAACGAAUUCAAUUCAAAUAACUCAUAUUUAAUAUUUUUUUUACAAAACUUAAAUUUAUUUUGAUUAUAUAAUAUCGAAUCUUUCAUUUGGUUAUUUUCUUAAAUACUAUUAUUUAAGCCAUUUGAACCUAAUACUCUAAAAGUGAGAGUUGAAGGGCGACCAAUAUCAGUGGCAUAAAGUACUAAAAACAUAUUUCAGUCAUCUUCAAUAUAGAUUAUUUGAUGUUGAUCUGAGCUAAAUUAAUAUAUUUAAUUCUGACUUGUAAAUUUGCCAUUUGUAAAAAAGAAGAAGAAGUGAUUUUACUUCAAACAAUAAUAAUAGAUUUGUUACCAUCUAAAUUGAUGAACAAGAUAUAUACUUGAAUACGGUAACAAUAAAUUAAUUGUGCUACAGUCUGUCUUAUUUAUAAUAUCUUUUUUAUUUAGGUAUAUAGUGUUUGUACAAAAUUAGUAAAGACCAAAACCCUAUGUAUCAAAUAUGUCAAGUAUGAGAAUCCAACUCAAGUUUUAUCAAAUAAACAAGCCUAAUUAAAUUUAGUAAAGCUAAUUAAAGCAGUUUAAUCUUUACCUUGUAUCAAGUUUAUAUUUCAAAACUGAAAGUCAAUGAAGCUAUAUUGGAGCAUUCAAUUCUAGGCUUAGUUCUACCCCAUUAAAUAACUUUAAAGUUUUUAUAUUGAUACAAGAGUUAAUAUUAUUUUCAAACACAUAUAACUGGUGGUGUAGGAAGGGGUCAAACUUUUGGUCCGCUUUCUCUCCGUACUAUUUCAAAAGGUUUAAUUUUUUAGUAUUUUAAUAUUUAAAACUUAGUAAAAAAAAUAACUUUGACUAACAAGAAAAAUAUAAUUUAAUCUUUUCUUAUCCUAGACCACAUAAAAAAUUUGGAACAUAAUUCACAUUUGUUUCUAAACGGUUGGACUAAUAAUCAAUUAAUUGGCAUCAUGGAUUCUAGAUUUUGUAGUAUUAAUUUCCAUGACUACACUUAGAACAAAAUAAUAAUAAUUAGUAAAAAAAAUCCCCAUAAAUCUUCUCAAGGAUGUUUUGCUGAUUUACUUUCCUUUCUACACAUAGUUUCAUAAGGAAAAUUAUUAAAACAUAGUAAUCUCAAAGAAUCCAAAGAAAUUAAUAUUACUCUAUGCAACACAAAAUAAGAUACUAUAUAUAUUAAAGCCAUAAGCUAUACAUUGCCACCAACAUAUUUAAUUAGAUAUAAAGAGAUGGAGAAGCUUUCAUUCAAUUUGUUUAUAUUCGCUAUUAUCUUAAUCUUUGCAACUCGUUAGUUUCUUCUUAUGCAACCCUUUUAUUUCAUUUGGUAUGAAUAUUAUCUUUUUCGUUUAACCUAAUACAAGGGAAUUUUGGUUGCAGAUCCAGAGAUGAUGGCAGAGGCAAGAGGACCUGUCAUUUCGUGUAGAUGCAGUAAAAUCGAAGAUUGUCACGGUAUUUGCGCCGCGUGCCCCAACUAUAAGUGCAUUAAUAACCUUUGUACUUGCCUUUCAGACGCACCUCCAUUUCCAUAGUCUUAGAAUCUACACACUCCUAUAGUUGAAUUAAAUGGUGGGGUUUUUUUUUGUGUAAUUUGAAAUAAAU
rnacentral:lncRNA from 1 species